UUUAUAUUUUUGGAGAACAGGUGCGGCGUGGUUUAAGCGUACUGUUAGUCACUGUGCUAGGUUUCAGAGCAAAUGUCUUACCUGUCUGUAGCAGAGCAGCUGGAUCUGGGGGGGUGUAAUACUAGUUUCGGCCACUAGAGGGCGGCAUACGAGUCAGCCGCUAGAGUGGACCUGAAUUCCUCACGAAGUCGGAAAGAGGAAUCGGCUUCAGCUGUCUGCAGGCUGAUUUCUGCAUAUAUGCGCUCAACACCACCAGAGGGGGUCUGUCUUGGUUCUGGGAGGAGUGGUAUUCUGUGAUGGGCGGACGAUGGCCGGAGACGGAGACGCGCUGUGUGGCAGUGAGACUGGAGAAGGAUGUCCUUUUCGAGCAGGAAACCGGAUCGCGCGCAAAGAGACUUCUGUUCCUACGAGCCUCAUGCGCGCACACAGCCUGUUCCCCUGCACAGCCUCCCACCAGACAGGGUGCGAGGCAGCCAUUUAAAGAUGACGUGCAGGUCUGCCUCGCGAUGUGACCUUCAGACCCAGCAGGUCCAGGUUUAGACGCAGGUGUCGCUUGAAGAAGGCUCCGCGGCCGAGACUUUGCGUCUCUUUUCUUUUCCUUUCGGCGUGGAAUAAAACGUCCUCUUUGCGGCCUGCGCACGCCAUGCAGCUCCUUACUGUGGCCUCUCUUAAGGACCGACAGGUGUCGCUGUCCGCUCGGAGCUCCAGUGCUUCCCCUCCGGCGAGCACAGACAGGUGAGAACCCCCACCACCACAGCAGCACGUCUGUCCCUGCCACUGGUACGGCACCUGCGCUGCCCACGUCUGAUUUAGGCUUUACGAGUCGAGCAGCUCCGGGACCGACUGGUCUGUUGUUCAGGGCAAUUAGCGCGACAGGGGCUCUGCACAAGCCCUGAGCUCCUCUCUACAGAGGACCUGGAGGGUCCGGAGGGCGCCUGAGACCACCUGGCCGAUGGCGCGAAGGUGCCGGUUUCUUGGUUACGUGAGCGCGGCACCGCGAAUAACGCGAUGUGCCGUCGGAUUCCAGGGCCUGCGCCGCGGGGGAGGGUCGUCUCGGGUUUGGACAUCCGAUCCCCUGCGUUCGCGGAGCGUCGGGACGUGUCCAGUGGCCGGAUCGUGUGCCCGGGGUGGAGAGUCUUCUGACAGCUCUGCCCAGCUCACCGCCUGUCCCUCUCGCAGCGAGCAGCGAGCCCAGUACAGCUCAGCCCGUCGCACACGGGCCGCCGAGCGCGUAAACACGCCGACACGG